GAUGAACGCUGGCGGCGUGCUUAACACAUGCAAGUCGAGCGAGAAGUUUUGAAAAGAUUCUUCGGAUGAAAUUUAAAAUGGAAAGCGGCGGACGGGUAAGUAACGCGUAGGCAACCUGCCCCAUACAAAGGGAUAGCAUUUGGAAACGAAUAUUAAUACCUUAUGAAACUUAACUAGUGCAUGCUAGGUAGGUCAAAGAUUUAUCGGUAUGGGAUGGGCCUGCGUCUGAUUAGCUAGUUGGUGAGGUAACGGCUCACCAAGGCGACGAUCAGUAGCCGACCUGAGAGGGUGAACGGCCACAUUGGAACUGAGACACGGUCCAAACUCCUACGGGAGGCAGCAGUGGGGAAUAUUGCACAAUGGGGGAAACCCUGAUGCAGCAACGCCGCGUGAACGAUGAAGGCCUUUGGGUCGUAAAGUUCUGUUCUAGGUGAUGAAAACUGACAGUAACCUAGGAGAAAGCCCCGGCUAACUCCGUG
rnacentral:rRNA from 1 species